rnacentral:rRNA from 1 species
GACAGAGGUGCCGAGCGUUAGGCGGAAUCACUGGGCUUAAAGCGUGUGUAGGCGGGCGGGCAAGUACCUUGUGAAAUCCCACGGCUCAACCGUGGAACUGCUGGGUAUACUGCCUGUCUUGAGCCAGCCAGGGGCAGUCGGAACAGACGGUGGAGCGGUGAAAUGCGUAGAUAUCGUCUGGGACGCCAAAGGUGAAAACAGACUGCUGGGGCUGUGCUGACGCUGAGACACGAAAGCCAGGGGAGCGAACGGG